CGAACCUUUUAAGGAUUCAAGGUAAUAGUCAGACUCAGAAUGCUUCGAUGCAAAAGAAUCUUUCAAGUCCACAAGAACGCUAAAUCUAGGAACGAAAGUGACGUAAAUGGAUGAAAAUUGGAGAUGAGAGAUGGAAAAACGGACCUGUAAUUGUAAACCCGCACAAAAGAAGUUUCUGACACUUGAAGAGUUCUGUGUCAGAAAUUGUAACCCACCAGAAGAGGGCAAACAGGAAUUCGUAACCCGCCAGAGUCUCCGGUCAGCACGAUCUUGAACAGGUUA
rnacentral:lncRNA from 1 species